AAAUUGAAGAGUUUGAUCAUGGCUCAGAUUGAACGCUGGCGGCAGGCCUAACACAUGCAAGUCGAACGGUAGCACAGAGAGCUUGCUCUCGGGUGACGAGUGGCGGACGGGUGAGUAAUGUCUGGGAAACUGCCUGAUGGAGGGGGAUAACUACUGGAAACGGUGGCUAAUACCGCAUAACGUCGCAAGACCAAAGAGGGGGACCUUCGGGCCUCUUGCCAUCAGAUGUGCCCAGAUGGGAUUAGCUUGUUGGUGAGGUAACGGCUCACCAAGGCGACGAUCCCUAGCUGGUCUGAGAGGAUGACCAGCCACACUGGAACUGAGACACGGUCCAGACUCCUACGGGAGGCAGCAGUGGGGAAUAUUGCACAAUGGGCGCAAGCCUGAUGCAGCCAUGCCGCGUGUAUGAAGAAGGCCUUCGGGUUGUAAAGUACUUUCAGCGGGGAGGAAGGUGUUGUGGUU
rnacentral:rRNA from 2 species